rnacentral:lncRNA from 1 species
UGAAGAAACUAACUUCGUAAUUCAUUGAUCAUAACAUAUGAUAAUCACAUAGUUCAAGAGAAAUAAUAAUCAGAAUCCCCGAAGGACCCAUCAUAAAAAUUUAGUUACUUAUACUAAUCAAAAUCAACAAAGGAAAAGAAGAAACUAUAACCAUGAAUUUCCAAUAGCCAACACGUGUCACAUGUUGCAGCCACUAUCUUCAAUUCUCCAUUCCUUGCACUGUAGCGCAGCUUUUGUUUCUUUUCUCCUCCUUCCGUCGAUGAACAGUUCCUUUUUUUUUGUCCUGUAGUGCGUGUGUAAUAUGUGUCCGCAGCAGCUCCUGGUACAUGUGCCAAGCUCCAUCUCUUUCUUCUUGGAUUUGGGCCAAGACAUUAGGCCCACGUUUUCUUCUUUCAUUAGGCAGCUUUGGUUUGUUUUCUAUUUACACCAGCACAUUACACUAAAACACCUAUUAAUAAUAUUUGUUCUCAAGCAUAAAAUCUGUUUAGUUGAACCAAAAAAAUAAAAACUACACAAAAUAUUAUUUUAAUAGAGAAAAACGUCUAAUUGACUCAAUAAAUCAAAAACCGCAAUUUAUUUAAAAUGACUUUAAAGUAAAC